UACAGAGGUCUCAAGCGUUGUUCGGAUUCAUUGGGCGUAAAGGGUGUGUAGGUGGCGCGCUAAGUCGGGUGUGAAAUUUCGGAGCUUAACUCCGAAACUGCAUUCGAUACUGGCGUGCUUGAGGACUGGAGAGGAGACUGGAAUUUACGGUGUAGCAGUGAAAUGCGUAGAUAUCGUAAGGGAAGACCAGUGGCGAAGGCGGGUCUCUGGACAGUUCCUGACACUGAGACACGAAGGCCAGGGGAGCAAACAGG
rnacentral:rRNA from 1 species